rnacentral:rRNA from 1 species
UACGUAGGGUGCAAGCGUUAAUCGGAAUUACUGGGCGUAAAGCGUGCGCAGGCGGUGAUGUAAGACAGUUGUGAAAUCCCCGGGCUCAACCUGGGAACUGCAUCUGUGACUGCAUCGCUGGAGUGCGGCAGAGGGGGAUGGAAUUCCGCGUGUAGCAGUGAAAUGCGUAGAUAUGCGGAGGAACACCGAUGGCGAAGGCAAUCCCCUGGGCCUGCACUGACGCUCAUGCACGAAAGCGUGGGAGCA